AUGGACAUGAAGGCCCCUGCUCAGCUCCUGGGGUUCCUGCUGCUCUGUUUCCCAGGUGUCAGAUGUGACAUCCAGAUGACACAGUCUCCAGAAUCCCUGUCUGCAUCUGUAGGAGACACAGUCACCAUCACUUGCCAGGCCAGUGAGAGCACUGGCAAUUACUUAGCAUGGUAUCAGCAGAAACCAGGGAAAGCCCCUAAGCUCCUGAUCUAUGAUGCAUCCAGUUUGCAAAGUGGGGUCUCCUCGCAGUUCAGUGGCAGUGGAUUUGGGACAGAUUUCACUCUCACCAUCAGCAGCCUGGAGCCUGAAGAUAUUGCAACUUAUUACUGUCAAGAGUAUAGUAGUGACUUACCCACAGUGUUACAAGUCAUAACAUAA